rnacentral:rRNA from 1 species
GCCGGGCACUCUAGGGAGACUGCCAGGGAUAACCUGGAGGAAGGUGGGGAUGACGUCAAAUCAUCAUGCCCCUUAUGACUUGGGCUACACACGUGCUACAAUGGCGUAAACAAAGGGAAGCGAGCCURCGAGGGGGAGCAAAUCUCAAAAAUAACGUCUCAGUUCGGACUGCAGUCUGCAACUCGACUGCACGAAGCUGGAAUCGCUAGUAAUCGCGAAUCAGAAUGUCGCGGUGAAUACGUUCCCGGGUCUUGUACACACCGCCCGUCACACCAUGGGAGUUGGUAAUGCCCGAAGUCAGUGACCCAACCGCAAGGAGGGAGCUGCCGAAGGCAGGAUCGAUAACUGGGGUGAAGUCGUAACAAGGUAGCCGUAUCGGAAGGUGCGGCUGGAUCACCUCCUUUCUAAGGAA